rnacentral:rRNA from 1 species
GACAGAGGGUGCAAACGUUGUUCGGAAUUACUGGGCGUAAAGGGUGCGUAGGCGGCAGGGUAAGUCGGAUGUGAAAUCCCGGGGCUCAACCCCGGAACUGCAUUCGAUACUGCCUUGCUAGAGUACUGGAGAGGAGACUGGAAUUUACGGUGUAGCAGUGAAAUGCGUAGAUAUCGUAAGGAAGACCAGUGGCGAAGGCGAGUCUCUGGACAGUUACUGACGCUGAGGCACGAAGGCCAGGGGAGCGAACGGG